AGGGAAAGAGGGAGGGAGGAAGAACACAGGUAAGUCGAACGGAAGCACAGUAAGAGCUUGCUCUUACGGGUGGCGAGUGGCGGACGGGUGAGGAAUACAUCGGAAUCUACUUUUUCGUGGGGGAUAACGUAGGGAAACUUACGCUAAUACCGCAUACGACCUACGGGUGAAAGCAGGGGAUCUUCGGACCUUGCGCGAUUGAAUGAGCCGAUGUCGGAUUAGCUAGUUGGCGGGGUAAAGGCCCACCAAGGCGACGAUCCGUAGCUGGUCUGAGAGGAUGAUCAGCCACACUGGAACUGAGACACGGUCCAGACUCCUACGGGAGGCAGCAGUGGGGAAUAUUGGACAAUGGGCGCAAGCCUGAUCCAGCCAUACCGCGUGGGUGAAGAAGGCCUUCGGGUUGUAAAACCCUUUUGUUGGGAAAGAAAAGCAGCAGGUUAAUACCCCGCUGUUCUGACGGUACCCAAAGAAUAAGCACCGGCUAACUUCGUC
rnacentral:rRNA from 1 species